GGGUUGUGAGGUUAAGCGACUAAGCGUACACGGUGGAUGCCCUGGCAGUCAGAGGCGAUGAAGGACGUGCUAAUCUGCGAUAAGCGUCGGUAAGGUGAUAUGAACCGUUAUAACCGGCGAUUUCCGAAUGGGGAAACCCAGUGUGUUUCGACACACUAUCAUUAACUGAAUCCAUAGGUUAAUGAGGCGAACCGGGGGAACUGAAACAUCUAAGUACCCCGAG
rnacentral:rRNA from 2 species